GUACCAUCAAGCUUUGCUUGGUGUUGGGCGUUUUUGUCUUUGGCCCGCCAAAGACUCGCCUUAAAAUGAUUGGCAGCCGGCCUACUGGUUUCGCAGCGCAGCACAUUUUUGCGCUUGCAAUCAGCAAAAGAGGACGGCAAUCCAUCAAGACUCCUUCUCAC
rnacentral:misc_RNA from 1 species